UACCAAAGUACUCCCUCCCCGGAAGCUAGGAUACCAAGGGAUCCCCUUCCGAGAAGCCAGGCUACCACAGGACUCCCUUCUCGGAAACCAGGCUACCAAAGGACUCCAGUCCCAGAAGUUAGGCUACCAAAGUACUCCCUUCCCAGAAGCUAGUAUACCAAGGGGUCCCCUCCCGGAAGCCAGGGUACCACAGGACUCCCUUCCAGGAAACCAGGCUACCAAAGGACUCCAUUCCCGGAAGCUAGGCUACCAAAGUACUCUCUUCCCGGAAGCUAGGAUACCAAGGGAUCCCCUUCCCGGAAGCCAGGCUACCACAGGACUCCUGUCCCAGAAGCUAGUCUACCACAGGCCUGUCUUCCUGGAAGCUAGGCUCCCACAGUAUUUCCUUUGCAAAAGCCAAACUACCACAGGACUCCCUUCCUGGUAGUUCCCUUCCCUGAAGCUAGGCUAUCAAAGGAUUUCUUUCCCAGAAGCUAGACAACCACAGGACUCCUUUCCCUAAAGCCAGGCUACCAUAAUACUCCCUUCCCGGAAGCUAAGCUACCACAGGACUCCCUUCCUGGAUGCCACGCUACCACAGGAUUCCCUUUCUGGAUGCUAGGCUACUCCCCAGGACUCCAUUCCCAAAUGCUCGGCUACCACAGGACUCCCUUCCUGGAAGCUAGGCUGGAAGGUACUCCCUUCCCGGAAGCUAGGCUACCACAAGACUCCCUUAUCGGAAGCUAGACUACCUCAGAACUCCCUUCCCCGAAGCUAGGCUAUCACACAACUCCCUUCUUGGAAGCCAGGCUACCAUAGGACUCCCUUCCCGGAAGCCAGGGUACCACAGGACUCUCUUCCCAGAAGCCAAGCUACUACAGCACUCCCUUCCUGGAAGCCAGGCUACCACAAGACUCCAUUCCUGGAAUCCAGGCUACCCAAAGACUCUCUUCCCGGAAGUUAACUACCACAGGACUCCCUUCCCAGAAGCUAGGCUACCACACGACUCCCUUCCCGGAAUCUUUUACUGUAUCUGUGCAUCAACUAUCUCACCUAAAAGACUUCUAGACAUUAACAAAAUAUUUUUAUUGUUUAUUCAAAAUUUCACAUAAUAUACCCCAAUCACAUUCACUUCCCAGUUCUCUUAGGUUAACCCCCAACACUUGUUACCUCCCCCAAAACCAAAGAAAAGAAAGAACAAAAUACCAAGUCCAAUUUGUACUGCCAAUUUAUAUUCAUUGGAGCUUGGUCAAACUCCCUGGGGCCAGCCUCUUUAAGAAAACAGAACCGGACAAACAAAAAAAACCCUGAUUCCUUCCCCCUCCUUGCCAGAAGCCAUCAACUUUAGAGCUAUACUUUAGCAUCCCCAGAGUGGUAGAAUUCUAGUUAGGGCAAUUACAGUAGGAAAACUAGGAUGCCUUGGGCCACAGAGAUGGCUCAGCAGGAAAGUGCCUGCCA
rnacentral:lncRNA from 1 species